CCCCUCUCAGGGUCGCACUGGCGAGUUUCCAGUACUCUAACAGUCUCGGCUAUGGGAGGGAAAGUCAAGCAGAGGCCUACCCAUUCCAUUCCUAGCUUGGCCAGUGGUUAGCCAGUGGAAGGCAAUCUGCUACAAGU
rnacentral:snoRNA from 1 species